UACGGAGGGUGCAAGCGUUAAUCGGAAUUACUGGGCGUAAAGGGUGCGUAGGUGGUUUGAUAAGUUAUCUGUGAAAGCCCUGGGCUCAACCUGGGAAGGCCAGAUAAGACUGUUAGACUUGAGUAUGGGAGAGGGUAGUGGAAUUUCCGGUGUAGCGGUGAAAUGCGUAGAGAUCGGAAGGAACACCAGUGGCGAAGGCGGCUACCUGGCCCAAUACUGACACUGAAGCACGAAAGCGUGGGGAGCAAACAGG
rnacentral:rRNA from 1 species